UACGUAGGGUGCAGGCGUUAAUCGGAAUUACUGGGCGUAAAGCGUGCGCAGGCGGUUUGCUAAGAGAGAUGUGAAAUCCCCGGGCUUAACCUGGGAACUGCGUUUCUAACUGGCAGGCUUGAGUGUGGCAGAGGGGGGUGGAAUUCCACGUGUAGCAGUGAAAUGCGUAGAGAUGUGAGGAACACCGAUGGCGAAGGCAGCCCCCUGGGCUAACACUGACGCUCAUGCACGAAAGCGUGGGGAGCAAACGGG
rnacentral:rRNA from 1 species